rnacentral:misc_RNA from 1 species
AUUUGGUGCAAGGCAUCUGGGCACAAUAUUUAACACCAUAACCGUAGCAGGCCCUGUAGGAUCUUAUAUACUGUCUGUUUGGGUUGUCGGAUACCUCUACGAUAAGGAAGCAUCAGAUGUAGGGAACAUGUGUACUGGAACUCACUGCUUCAUGUUAUCCUUCUUUAUCAUGGCAGCUUCCACUUUCUUUGGGGCUCUUGUGGCCUUGGCUUUGUUCUUUCGGACAAGAAACUUCUACAAUAAUUUUGUUCAGAGAAGAGGUGCAAAUACCAUUACUGGUUAGUUCUCAUUUGAUAAAAACAAUUGAGGAGGAUAGCAGUUGAACUCCCUUAGCAACCAGCUCAUUGUAACAUAGUGUACACGGUUCUCUACAAUUUGGUUGGUAGGUUUACCUGACUUUGUAACCAAUGAUAUAUUUAUGAAUCUGUUUAGUAUGAAUGUGAAGUUUGCACCACCAAAG